UUUUGCGUUGGGUGUGGAAAAGUCCUAGGGAAAAGAAAAAGAAACCAUUGCUCUUUUAACAAAGAGAAACAAAGAGGCCACAUUCUUCUGCUGGGCAUUAUUUAACUAAGUGAGACACAUAGUCAGCACAGGUGCAUGAAGAAAGCUAGCAAGAGACAACACACAGAGGACAGCAGAGUUUAAAAGUAGAAAUUACGAGUCCUUGAUAUCACUGAGGCUAAACUUUUCCACCUU
rnacentral:lncRNA from 1 species